GAAAAUACUCUGAUUAGUCUUACCUGUCACCUGUGUGAAUCCUGGUUUCAGUGUCAAGUGUUCAGCCCUGUUCAGUCCUUCUGCUUUGGGACCUUUGCCUUCAUCACCGCCCUGGGGAAGAGAGGUAGACCGGCCCACACCAAGUGGCACUGUCAUCAAAGCAGUGUUUCAAAAGUUCAGCUCCAAGACGCACGGCAGCCGUGAAACCGGGAGUCUGCACGCCGAAUACCUGCAACAGAAGUCAGGAGACACAGAGGGAAACUCUACAUUAGCUGGAGAAGCUAAUCAUGACUGGAAGGAGGAGGAAGGAGUGGCUGCAAGUGCAAAACAAAAAAACCACAGAACACUAAUGACGGCUCUGCCCAUGUCUUGUAUGUAUGACAGAAUAAUAUGCAUAAAUCGUAUUGUAACAUACAGGAACCAUGUGAA